AUGAGGGAACGGAGUGACGUGGGGAAUCGGUGUGUGCGCGCGGGGCGCACGGAGAGAUAGAUAUGUACGCGAGUGUUGAACGGCAGCAUCGCGAUAUCGGCGAACGCGGUUUUCUGUGUUAGUCGGAGGUGUUGGUGAGAGAGUCGGUCGGUGGGUCGGUCGGUUGGUCGGUUGGUCGGUUGGUCGGUCGGUCGGUUGGUUUCAAUCGUAAAACCGCUGCCUCUGGGUACCCGAGGCGCACCAGACGCGACUGCGAGGCUCGGGGGUGUGUUGGUGCGGUCCGCGGCUGUGUGGUCGUCGUUCAAGUCCGGCGCUGAUCCUGUAGCCCUCUCCCUUCCUCUUCCUCUUCUACAACGUCCGAGCGUUCGCCGUCCACACUCUGCCGCAUGCAUUUCGCUGCGGCGUGCCUCGUACGAGUUCGGUGUGCGGUCUGUCUCGUUCUUUCUUUAUCCGCCUGAUUCGUCCGUAAGUCCGUCUCGUAGCGUCUGUGUGAUACCGCGCGCGACUCAAACUUCCACCCGAGUCACCCGAGUCCCGAACAGCCUCUGAAAACCGAACGGUACGAAGUACGAAGUACGAACCUCACGGCUACGGUAGUGAGUUACCGACUGCAUGGAAGCGCGCAUCGGAGAUGGUUGGAUAGACACGGAGAAGGAUCGAGAGCUCGUGAGAAGAAUAAAGAAAUGAAGAAAGAGGAAGAAUGUGAUACUUUUGGUGACGAAUACGACCGUUUCAAAAUCACUACAUCAGGAUGAAGAUCCAGCUGCCUCGGAACGAUCGAACGGCUCGGGCAGCAACGGCAGCAAAAGUAGCGAUACCGAUAGGACGCCGUCGAUGAUCUAAAAUUUUUUUCAUCUAAAAUCGAUAUACUCUGUACAAGUGAAAAAAAGUGGUUUGUACG
rnacentral:lncRNA from 1 species